rnacentral:lncRNA from 10 species
UUUAGGGAUGGCAGUUUCCCAACAGUCAGAUGCACCUGUUCUACUGAGAUUUUUUUCAUUUAUUAUUUCAAAUUCAAGAGCUUAUGAAAAUAAGUUCGUAUACUGUCAGGCUCAAAACGAAUAUUUGCAAGAUGGAGGAAGACAAAAAGACCUAGAGGAUCCUGAAGCUUUUCCCCACCUAAACAGUGUCCACAGAUACAACUUCUUGGGUGUUCAAAAUUUUAUAAGCCAGAGGUUGGAGUCUUCUGCUGACAUCAAGGAAGCUGUGUCAGGCUAACUUGUUGGCUUAAAGAAUGCAGACUGGAUGGCUGGAACAUGGGCAACUAACGGGGCCAUGAAGCAAAAGCCACAUGUUGAGGAUGGCAGAGGUAAAAAAAAAAAAUCAAGAGACUUUGGAAUCCCAACAGCACACAGUGCCAUGCCUGCAUAGCUUUUCCUGAAUCCAGACUUCCAGAACAAGAGAGAAAAAUGAACUUCAAUUGCUUUUAGCUACUGUUAUUUUAAACUGUGGGCUACUCUAAGCUGAGCCAUACUGUAAAGGUUACAAUGGCAAAGGAUCAGGCCUCUAUUUCAAACAUUGGUUCCUAGGAUGUUGGCAGAAUAAACAUAAAUGCAGUAAGAAUAUCAUAACUAGCAUACGACUUCGGAAGGAGAAGAGAAAUACUCCGUCAUAAUUUCUGAAGUCCUAGCAGGACUCUGAGGCUUCUAUCACUGUUUACAGAAAUCUAAUAUCCUGCUGAUAUCAUGACAGAAGAAGUUGAAAAGGCCUCUUUUGAAGCUGUCUUCCAGAAUGUAGGAAGUGAAUCACACUUCUCCAUUCAUUAAACAGGUUGCAUUAACUUCCUAGAAGACCAGAAAAUUAAUACAGAAUAGAGGAGCCUACCUCCCAGUGAAAGGACAUUUAAUUAGUAGAUCUAUGAGAGUUACUUUCCUAGCUAGAGUUUUUCAAUUUGGAACUUUUCUGAGCAGCUAUUACACAAUCUUAACAAGAAUGUACAGAAAAUCAAUAAACUGAAAAGUUCAAUGUAGUAUAAUAUGACUAAACUUGGAAAUAUUGUGCAAUGCGGCAUUAUACUGAGCUAAUCCUAGCAGAUUCUUUUCUUGUUACUACAAUCCCUCCUAAUGCAUUAUAGUCCUCAGGUAAUGUACUUUUACUUUAAGGCAAAGUCAUUUCUGUGCAGCAGGGAGUGAUCCCUUGAGGAAAUUUGAUCUCAAGUCUUUUUUUUUUUUAUUUAAGGCAAAAUGAAUGUCAGGUAAAAUGUCUAGAUAACCCCUUGAAAACUCAGAACUCAUGCACACUGAAUAAUUGCUAUGUGAAGUAAAGAAUGAGUAAAUGCAUGAAAUAGCAAAUACAGCAGGAUUGUUUUCAGAUCAGUAAACUGUGCAUAGGUUAUGCAAUGCUAGGACUAAGACCAUUCUGGAGCGCAGGAGUGUAUGAUUUUUCCCAUGGAUUUGUGAAGGAGAGAUCAGCUUUUAAGAUUUCUUUUAGUGGGGAGGGGAGUUCUUUUUAUUCUUUGAAUUUGGGAGUUGGAUCUCAAGAUCAUCCUGUAAUAGUCAAUGGGUCCUAAAUCCAAUGGCAUGUGUCCUUUUAAAAGACUCACAAAGUAGGCCAACCAAAGAGAAAGAAGCAGUGUAACUAUGGAGGCAGAGAUUGGAGUGAUGUAGCCACAAGCUGAGGAAUGCCAGCCACCACCAUUAGCUGGAAGAGGCAAGGAAUGAAAGACAAUUUCCCCUAGAACCUCUGGAGAGAGUGUGCCCCUGCUGACCCCUGCAGUUUGGACUUCUGGCCUCCAGAACUCUGAGAGAAUACAUUUCUCUUGCAUUCAGCAACAGGUUUGUCAUCAUCUGUUCUGGAAGUCACAGAAAUCUAAUCCACCCAUGACACCCAUGAAGUAGAUACCAUCUUUAUUCACAUUUUACAGACAAGGAAACAAAAGGAGAGAUCAGCUCUUAAGAUUUUUUUUGAGGGGGAUGGAGUUCAUUUUAUUCUUUGAAUUUUGGAGUUGUUGAAUUUAACCUGCCUCUAAAACUGGCAUGCUUGUCAAUUUCAUCCAUGUGUGACUUUAUGAAUAACUGGAAAUUCAAAUGCUCUCAGUUGUGGAUGAUUUCUUUCUUCUUUCUCAUCUAUCAAUAACAACCCCCCAAAAUGUUAAGAAAAUCUUGAAGUAUUCUAUUCAAAAUGUUCAUCUGUUUGUAAAUUAGUGUAGCCAUGCCAUUGGCUAGAUCUCAAGAUCGUCCAGGCCCACUCAGUGUGAUGCCCCUUGAUACAG